UACAGAGGUCCCAAGCGUUGUUCAGAUUCACUGGGCGUAAAGGGUGCGUAGGCGGUCGGGUAAGUCUGAUGUGAAAUCUCACAGCUUAACUGUGAAACUGCAUUGGAUACUAUCCGGCUCGAGGAAUGGAGGGGGAGACUGGAAUACUUGGUGUAGCAGUGAAAAUGCGUAGAUAUCAAAGUGGAACACCAUGGCGAAGGCGAGUCUCUGGACAUUUUCCUGACGCUGAGGCACGAAAAGCCAGGGGGGAGCAAAACGGGGAUUAGAAAAACCCCCCCAGUAGUCCCAGACC
rnacentral:rRNA from 1 species